rnacentral:rRNA from 1 species
ACAUGCAAGUCGAACGAGAAAGUGGAGCAAUCCAUGAGUAAAGUGGCGAGCGGGUGAGUAACACGUGACUAACCUACCUCCGAGUGGGGAAUAACUCCGGGAAACCGGGGCUAAUACCGCAUAACAUCGCAAGAUCAAAGCAGCAAUGCGCUUGGAGAGGGGGUCGCGGCUGAUUAGCUCGUUGGCGGGGUAACGGCCCACCAAGGCGAAGAUCGGUAUCCGGCCUGAGAGGGCGCACGGACACACUGGAACUGAAACACGGUCCAGACUCCUACGGGAGGCAGCAGUGGGGAAUUUUGCGCAAUGGGGGAAACCCUGACGCAGCAACGCCGCGUGGAGGAUGAAGCCCUUUGGGGCGUAAACUCCUUUCGACUCGGACGAUAAUGACGGUACGAGUGGAAUAAGCACCGGCUAACUCUGUGCCAGCAGCCGCGGUAAUACAGAGGGUGCGAGCGUUGUUCGGAAUUAUUGGGCGUUAAGGGCGCCGUACGCGGCGCGGUAAGUCACCUGUGAAAUCUCCC